rnacentral:rRNA from 1 species
CGGACGGGUGAGUAUGCUUAGGAAUCUGCCCAGUAUGGGGGACGAACUCGGGGAAACUCGAGCUAAUACCGCAUACGCCCUAUGGGGGAAAGUGGAGGAUCUUCGGACUUCACGCUAUUGGAUGAGCCUAAGUCGGAUUAGCUUGUUGGUGAGGUAAAGGCUCACCAAGGCGACGAUCCGUAGCUGGUCUGAGAGGACGAUCAGCCACACUGGGACUGAGACACGGCCCAG